CGCGGGCGGGGCCGGCUUCCCGGGGCGCCCCUGACAGCUGCGGGAGCUAGCCCCUACCUAGGAGCUGGACCGGCCACACCACCCCUCUGGUGACCGGGCCCCGGUGCGCUGGUCCAUGCUGGUCCCCGCCUUUGUUCUCGGGCCGGAGCGGGGACAUGCACGGCUGACGAUGGAAGUGGAGGACUCGGGCGGCGUGGUGUUGACCGCCUAUCACUCGUACGCUCGCUCUCAGCCGCCCAGCUCCGAGCCGCGCUGUGCGCCCAGGGCCGCCGCCAGCCACCCGGGCAGCAGAAAAUCUAUUCCUCGCUGCCGAAGAAUUAACAGAAUGCUCUCCAAUGAGUCCCUACAUUCGCCUGCAUUUAACCGUUCCAACUCACAAGCCUCCAUAGACAGCACCUCCAUGGAGGACUUCUUGCGGGAAAUAGAAAGCAUUAAAGAGAGUAGCAUGAGAGCACAGGAAGAGCAGAUACCAGCUGAGGUCAAGCCUGUGGAUGAAGGAGAACUCGAAGCAGAGUGGUUGCAAGAUGUGGGUUUAUCAACCUUGAUCUCGGGUAAUGAAGAGGAGGAUGGCAAAGCCUUGCUCUCUACGCUGACUCGAACCCAAGCAGCUGCAGUGAAAAAGAGAUACAAUACUUACACUCAAACCAUGAGAAAAAAGAACAAGCAAUCUGUUAGGGAUGUCAGAGACAUCUUUGGAGUCAGCGAAUCUCCUCCAGAUGAUUUUUGUUGUAUCCCAACUCCUCUUUUGGAAAUGAUCCUGGAUGAAGAAGUGAUAUCAGCAUUUCCCUGCAGAAAUGGUCAACUGCCAGGUGAUACCUGUGACAAUCAUACUGCUCAGUUGGAUGGUCCCCAGGAGGAAAAAGAGCUGCCAGGAGUUAUGAAAACAAGUGAUUCCUUGCCAGAUGAUGCUUCUCUCAACAGUACCGCCCUGUCAGAUGGGUCCCCAGAUGAAGAAGGGAGUUUUACAGUUCCCAGGAGUGGCUCUGUGUCUGUACUUGAGACCAUUCCAGCUCUACCAGUUCAUUCCAAUGGAUCUCCAGACCCUGGACAGUCAGUUCAGAAUGCAGUGAGUGAUGAUGUUUAUCUGGAAAAGAACAUUCCACCAGAAACUGAAGAGCUGUCCUUCGAAGUAUCUUAUUCAGAAAUGGUUACAGAGAUUCCAAAAAGAAACAAAUUUAAGAAGUCCGAAUUUAAGAAAGAGGACUUCGCCUUAACUAAAUUUAUUGUCCAGAAAACCAGAUUCGGUCUAACUGAAGCAGGAGACCUGUCUUCUGAAGAUAUGAAGAAGAUCCGCCAUCUGUCUCUGAUUGAACUGACUGCCUUUUUUGAUGCCUUUGGAAUCCAGCUGAAAAGAAACAAAACUGAGAGAGUAAAAGGACGAGACACUGGGAUUUUUGGAGUUCCGCUCACAGUCCUGUUGGACAAUGACCGAAAGAAGGAUCCUGGAGUGAAGGUUCCCCUGGUGUUGCAAAAAUUUUUUGAGAAAGUUGAGGAAUCAGGCCUGGAAUCUGAAGGAAUUUUUCGACUUUCUGGAUGUACCGCCAAAGUCAAGCAAUACCGUGAAGAACUGGAUGCCAAGUUUAAUUCUGAUAAAUUUAAAUGGGACAGAAUGUGCCAUAGAGAAGCUGCAGUAAUGUUGAAAGCAUUUUUCAGAGAACUACCCACCUCUCUCUUCCCCGUGGAAUAUAUACCUGCCUUCAUCACUCUAAUGGAAAGAGGGCCUCCCAUCAAAGUACAGUUUCAAGCUUUACACCUCAUGGUCAUGGCCCUGCCCGAUGCCAACAGGGACACAGCUCAGGCCCUCAUGACAUUCUUCAAUAAAGUGAUUGCCAACGAAUCAAAAAACCGAAUGAGUGUAUGGAACAUUUCUACUGUAAUGGCACCAAACCUUUUCUUCAGUCGAAGCAAACAUUCUGAUUAUGAAGAACUACAGUUAGCAAACACUGCAGCCCACAUCAUCCGCCUAAUGCUUAAAUACCAAAAGAUUCUGUGGAAGGUUCCAUCUUUCCUAAUCAUGCAAGUCAGAAGAAUGAACGAAGCUACAAUGCUGUUAAAGAAGCAGCUCCCAAGUGUCAGAAAGCUGCUGAGGAGGAAGACCAUAGAACGAGAGGUUAUAAGCCCCAAGACUUCAAAGGUACUACAAAAAUCACCCUCUUCAAGAAGAAUGUCUGACGUGCCGGAAGGAGUCAUAAGGGUCCAUGCUCCACUUCUCUCUAAGGUGUCCAUGGCCAUUCAACUCAAUAGUCACACCAAAGCCAAAGACAUACUGGCAAAAUUUCAAUAUGAGAACAGUUAUGGUUCGUCAGAAUGCAUUAAGAUUCAGAACCAACGGUUAUAUGAAAUUGGAGGAAAUAUAGGGCAGCAUUGCUUGGAUCCAGAUGCUUAUAUAUUGGACGUAUAUCAUGUCAAUCCUCAAGCAGAGUGGGUGAUUAAACCCCAACCAAGUUUUUGAAACACCCUCCAGGAUGGCAGCUAUCAUGUAUCACAUGCCAAGAAGAUUCUGCAUGUGGUAGGGAAAAAAACAAGACUACUUUUGACAUGUUUGCUCCAAUAACUCUCUUGGUGUUUCUCAGCCCAAGUGGUGUCUCCCAGCGUUGUCAACAUGAACCAUGGAGGAGGCACUGGUUGGCUGUUUGAGCUGGGGCUUUCUCCUAUGAUUCCUUGAUAAGAGUGAAGGAAAGAUGAUGCGAUCCUUCCAGAAGAAAGGCCAAUCUAGACCACUGGCCAGGCCACAUGGGCAUGUUGAACACUUGGAAUGUGACUAGUCUGAAUGGAGAUGUGUUCCAAAUACACACCAGAUUUUGAAGACGAGCGUGGAGUCCCAAACGGAUGAAAUCAUGCACCUAUAGUCCGUCCUUCCAUGUCCCGCCCUCCUCCUUUGCUGACCGGAAGGGUGUUCACCAAUAUUCACUUUGGACAGCCUGCUCUGCCUGAGGACAGAAUUUGAGAUUCUUCUUCCACUUCCACAAGGUCAGGGUCUGGGCUGCUGGGCAGGAGCAGUGGAAUGACACAGCUUCUGUACUAUCAAAGGCAUUAAAAGGUGUUUUAUCAGCUCUACAUUAGUGGUUAGACCUUUCCCACUCCUUCAGAGUAGAUGAUUGGGAUUUGGUACUAGGCAUGUCUAAUGUUUCCUAACUGCUCUGUUACUGGUGGUAGGGAGAAAAAAAUCCUGAAUAUUAAGCGCCCACCUUGCCAAUUAUAAUCUCUAAUACAAUGGCAUCUACUUUGGCAAUGCUGAUAUCCAGAACGAGGCCAUUCUCUGAGGCGGUAUGAAAAUCCAGCGUUGAUGUUUACAUCCCACUGGACGUUGUAGCUUUUCUUGACUGGCACCUAACAAAGAUAACCCUGAGAUGAAGUAAAUGUAGCUUUUGAAGAAGACACACCCAAUCACUGGGGCUGAGCCAGACUAGAGCAAGAACUGACAUAUCUUUUCUCCUCUAUUGCCAAGUAAGCAUUUGGUACCCAGCAGAGGUUAGCAUUUUUGACAAGUGCCGAUCAUCAAUUCCAGGACAAUAUUAUUCAAAGUGUGGUCUGCAGGGGUGCCUGGGUGGCUCAGUUGGGUAAGCAUCCAAUUCUUGGUUUUUGGCUCUGUUUGUGGGAUUGAGCCCCACAUCGGACUCUGCGCUGACAGCUAGGAGUCUGCUUGGGAUUCUCUCUCUUCCCCUCUCUCUUUGCCCCUUCCCGACCCCCUCGCUCUCUCGCUCUCUCUCUUUCAACAGAUAAAGUUAAAAACAACAACAACAAAGUCCAACACAAUGUAGGCAGAAAGAACAGGAGGAAGCUUUAAGAAAUGUGUAUGUAAUAAUGUGAUAUAUUUCCCCAAAGCCCCAGGACAUGAUGGAUGAACUCAACUCAUCGAAUAGAGUACAGAGCAGUUUGGGUGGAACUUGAGUGGUACAUGCAUGUGACAGGGGCACAGGAGGACCGCCUCACGCUUCAUAUCAUUUUAAGAUUUGUCAGCUAUAAUCCAACAUCGUUGUUAUAAUCAUUUUGACUUUUAAUUACGACUUUUAAUGUAAAUACACACAUAUUUGGUAGCUGUACUAGGCAAGUAAACUUGUCUGACAAAGUGCUAAAACCAUAAUGUGAUUUAUGGAAAAGUACUAAUGAGUCGUGAAUGAAACGGAUCCUUAAGUGACAUUUACUUACCAAACAAAUCCAAAACAAAAAAGAAGUCUUUGAGAAAGAGAGUUUUGAAUCAAGAGGCUGACAGAGCAGAUGUUCCGUAUUAUACACUAUAAGCAUUAAAGCUUUUGGGGGCUUCACAGAAAAUUGCUCCUCAGGUUGCUAAAACUAAAAAUCCACUGAUAAUUACUGGAAGAUUAGCAAAUGAUUGCAUCAGAGAUGCUUGCUUAGAAGCAUUAGGUGAAACACAGGAAAAAAAUGGGGCUCAAGAAUCACUUUCCAAUCACAUGUGUUCAGAAACCGGCUGUUAAGAAUUAAGACCAACCAUAAAAUACAUAAUGUUGCCUGGUUUUCACUGCAACUCGGCAGCCACACAGAUCUUGCUAAAAUGAAUUAAUUUGAACACAAUAGUAAAAUGGUAGGAUUCUUCCCGCCCCUCUCCCCACCCCCACCCAGCUUUAUUGCUAAAAGCAACCAACUCUGUACUGAAGAAAACCAUGAAGGAUUACAUUGUCAACAAAUGUGCUUGGAGUUUAAGUUUUGAGUAGGAACGUGCUCUGAUGGGACCCCUGCAAUGAGAGAAAAGCACUUUGUAAGAGUUACCCAGAUGGAGAGCUUGCAACUGACCAUAAUCAGUCUCGAACUCCCUUCAUGGAGAAACGUCUUGCUAUGAAAAAUGUCAGCUUCACUAAAAAGUAUGCUUAGUGAUGCAGCAAAAACUAAUGUAAAUUGAAGAUUAUUAUAAAAGUGUAAAAUUAAAAUUAUAAAUUAAAAUUAUAAAAAAUGUAAUAAUAUGGAAGUUGAAUCAUAACACGUACCACAUGCUGAAUUAGGAUCUUUAUGGAGCAAGAAAGCUGUGUCAAGAAUGUCUGAACUGUAAGGCAAAUUCGUGUCAUAGGUUUCUACAAAAUAAGAAGCUAAUUUGGUUCUAAUUUUUUAAAGUGUACAUUAGAUAGUCUCGCUUAUUUGCUGCUAUCUUCAGUAUUUUAAUGGUUUUUAUACUUCCAUGCAAAGAAGUAUGGCAACAUGUUUUGCCAGUAAAUAUCUGAUUGAAAGGGAAAAAUAAAAGCUUGGAAGAAUAUACCUUUACAGAUUUUUGACAUGUUCCAUCACUUAAUAAUGACUGUCAGUGAAGUAGGUGAUGAACUUAAUAUUGCCAGUCGGCAAAGUUACAUCUUACAAGUUUGACAAAAUGCUUUAAAUUUUAUCUUUUCAUUACAAGAACAGGCAUAUGUAAGAAAAUCAUGGUUCUGCCUUUUAUUGAAAGGUGAUUUCAAUAAAAGGUAGUUGAAAUAUAACUAUGAAAUAAAUUGUGGAACUAGUUGAUGGACUGAAAAUGAGUUGUGAAAAUUUUCAUUUUGGAUCUAAGUUAAAAAUGAGUAUCUUGAACUUGCUGAAAUUAACCUCCUCUUACACUGCAAUCAACAUACCUCUAUGAGAUUAGUUUCUCUAAUGAGCUUUCAAAAAAAUUUUUUUUAAUGUUUAUUUUUGAGAGACAGACAGUGUGUGAGUAGGGGAGGGAUAGAGAGAGAGGGAAACACAGAAUCCGAAGCAGGCUCCAGGCUCUGAGCUGUCAGCACAGAGCCCGACACGAGGCUCGAACUCACAAACCAUGAUCAUUAUCAUGACCUGAGCCGAAGCCAGAUGCUUAACCAACUGAGCCACCCAGGUGCUCCAAACCCAAAUUAAUUUUAGAUAAAUUAACAAGAAGUAAACACAUCUGUGGAAUGAAAAAAAUGCUACAAGCAUAGUAGGGAUUCUUUGUCACAUCUGUAUCCAUACUUUCAAUGAAUGUGCACUGGUUUUAAAAUUCUUUUUUUCCUGUUUUAUUUAUUCUUAUGGUUAAUAAAAAUGCAGGUUCAUUCUGUGGUCUUUAAUUCAGAAAACUGGGUAUGUAUUAUGUCUGUUUUUUCAUUGCAUUUUUCUAGUAAAUCAUUUUUAUAGUAUUUUACGAAAAGAUCAGUCCACUACAGAUAGGAAAUUUUUAAAAAUUAAAACUGGUCUUUCAUUAUAGACAAUUUGAGAGACAAAUUGCUUAAUAUUACGUCUUCCCACAACUCUCCUCUAUGCCCUUUUUAAUCUAGGUCAAGUUUUCAUCUCUUUGUUUCUAGGCACCUCCCCUCAAUCUUUCCCCCCCCACCUCAAGGGAUAUUUACAUGUUGACAGGACUCUUUUAUAGGUAAAAAGGCUACUUAAGGCUGAGAAAUUAAGCUAUAAUAACGAAAAGCCUGUAGGUAGAGUCGAUUAUUGGAAUCAGCAAAUCUCACUGUUGGAGUUAGAGGAAAUAUAGCUCAGUAUCUUGCCUAAAUUUGGAGUUGGUUCUAUAAAAUACUGAUAACAACAACAAAACCCACAGGAUUUAGGUUUUAUAGUGCAGUGCUGAGAGAAUAGACUCUGGGGUCAGUCUGAAUACAUUGAGGCCUGGAUUCUGCUCCAACCGGCUGAAAAGCCUUGGGCAAAUUACUUAACUUCUCUGAUAGCAGCCAUAGUCUCUUCAUUUGUAAAACGAGGCUAAUAACAAUACCUACCAGAGACAGUUGAUGUAAGGAUGAAAUGAGACUGCACGUGGAAAACCCCUUCAUCUUCUCAGCUGGGAGUCAGUAAUUGUUAGCUCUUGUCACCCUUACUGUGCAAAGCAUUUUCACAGCGGCCAUCAAAGUCAACCUCCGCCACAGCUAUGAGGUAGCAGGGAAAAUAUCCUUAUCAACAUUUCAGAAGUGAGGAAAUGCAGCCUUGUAGAAAUAAAUGACCAACUCAAAACCAGAAGCAGAGACACUUCUCAUUUCCAAAACCAUGCUCUUUCCACCAUGGGGCUCAUCCUUCCCUGCCAGUGAUGGCCUAAUCCCAGGAAUGGGGUGUUCUGUCAGCUCAAUCCUUACCUCCCCAAUCACGUCUAAAUUGGUCUCCUCGCAGCUUCCAUCUGUUGGGUCUGGCCGUGCCCUCUGAAGCAAGAGAAUAAAAAACGUGUAGGACACCUCGAAUCCCAAAGAGAGCUUGUCUGCUCCCAACUCCACACUAAACGGCUGGAGCCUCCUGCCGGAGGGGCCACAGCCCAGGCUCCCCACCACCCUCAGCUGCCCCCAUCUGGAGACUGGACGUCCUUUUGCUGCCCACAACCUCUCCCCAAGUUCCCGAGUCUCUGAGAAACUCCCACUAAGAGAUCAGGGGGCCACAUAAGCGGGGCCCGUUCCAGCGCUGCCUGCACACACUCCUGUCCCCUCUUGAUCGCUUUAUCUCUCUAAGGCCACUCUGGGUAAAUAGAAUUAUUUUUACUCCGCUCUCCAAUCUACUGAAAGAGAGAUUAUGAAAGGAUGACAACUAGCUUCACCAGCAAUCCCGCUGAUGCCUCAGCAAUCACUUUCGACACCUCUUGGUGAAAAACCACUGUUCGAAGCUUCUCUCCCCCGCACCUCUCAGGACUCGCAGUGGUCUGGCCUCUCUCUUUAGGGAGUAACCACGUUGAAGCAGACCUUGAUUGUAGCUUGGGGUGGCUGCGGUUCCCUGCUUUCUACAGAAUCGGACACAAGCUUGAUAUGAAUGACCCUGACCCCAGGUGUGAGCCCCAAAUUUCACAACCCUCCCAACCGCCGCGCCAACGGCCACCAACCGCUGCAGAUCGACCCGCCCACUCCGCUCAGCUGUCACGCCCACAGCCAGGCUGGCCCCGCCCCCGCCGGCACUGUUUCCACCGCUCUCUGACCCCGCCCCUCUGGUGCAUAUAGGCCCCUCCCACUCCUUCACCCGCCAGGCCGACGGCCAGGCAGACUCCACCCUCGCCGGGCGCUAUGGUUCCCAAGCAGCGCUCCACGCCCAAGUCCCGCCCUAGCCCUCAGCUGGCGCUGCCUUUCUCCUCAUGGCCGGUGUUGGCCAGCCUGCCCGCCAUUAACAGCCAGAUGGGCCUGAGAGUCGACGCUUCCAGUGCCUGGGCGCGUCCUUGUCCUCGCCUCACCACGGUGGCCCAAACGGCGUGGCUCUGAAGGACUCUGCCCCGUGUUUUCCCGCUCUGUGUGCUUAAAGAGAGAACGAGUGUGCGGGCGGAGAGAACGGCGAAUCUGCAGAACCCCGCGGGGCCGCAUAUUCCUUCAAGAGUCCGAGGAAGCCGACCCGAGGGACGGGCGCAGGGCUGGCUGUGGCGUGGUCGCUGCCGUCGCGCCCUCGGCCGGAUCGUGUGACUCCUGAGACCCGGGACCCGGGAACCCAGUACUAACGUGGCAGGCCAGCUGAGGCACCAAACCCUGCUCCUGCCUGUGCUAUCAAGGUGUUCGGGGGAGUGUAAACCAUGGUUACUUGCCAGCCCUUCCGACCCAGAGAGAGUUCCAGCAGCUCUCCUGUUUGGUGGACUUACAAGUUGGUGUUGAGGAGACCAAGCCUGGCAGGAGGCUGGAGCAGGCACAGGCAAAGCGCACGUUAGAAUGGGAAGAACCCCUGUGGCCUAGUUAUAAGAAAGCAAAUGCCAUGACCUAAGGGUUGGCCCACUCAUGCCACAGAGGCAGCAGCUAGCCUUCAUCAAGAAGGGGUAAGGACAAACCACAGGAACCCCACUGGACCACAUUUUAAGCAUCUGGUUUGCACAAAGGCUGCAUUCCUGUCUCUGCCUUUUCACCACUGCCAUUUGGUUGCACGUUGAAUACUCCAUAAUAACAUACAAGAAGCUUCUGAAAAGACUCAUUGCUGAAGAAUACCUCCUGGAUUCAUUUAUCGCCCUUGCAACAUGUCCUGUCUGCGUCUACCCUCUUGGCACCUUCUGAGGACGUGGCUGUGAACGGCACGGAAGCAUUUCUGCCCUAUGGAAUUCUCAGCCUCAGGGCUUUCAGUAGAUUUGUCUCAUCCAUUUGGACAGUGAUAACGCUAAAAGGUCAAAGGAGAAAAGAAAAGCUUUUAAAUGUAAUGAAACAUAACUAUUUUAAUACAUAAUUUCACAAGUUCUUACUGAAUGACAGAAGUUCCCUGAAGACAAAUUUUAAUGACACUAAGUGAAUAAAAAGGGCCUUGUAUGUGAAUACCUCCCAGUCCUCAUCAGAGAGAUGGAAUGCUCUUGCCCGUCACCGUAUGUGCCCUUGGGAGCACGCAGGACAGCUCUUCUCAGGUUUGCUCCGUCCCCAGAGUUAACGUGCACUUCAAUGUGGCCUUCAAUCAGCAUGAUGGAAAAGAAGGGCUGGGAAGGUUGCUGAGAGAUUUUCAACAGAAAAAAUAUUGCCACGUGAUCUUUAAAAUUAUUAUGAAGACAAUAUGAGAGUAUUAACAAGCAACUUAUUAAGAAUAUCACCAUCUAACACAACUCUUUUAAAUUCUGUAUAUGAGUUUCUAGUCUCUGUUCAUAUGAUUUACAUUCUGCUUUAUGCUCUUAUCAUUAACCCUAUCAAAGAUUUCCCUUUCUACUUCAUACUUUUUAUUGCCACCAUAUGUACUAACAGAUACAUAUACUGUAAAUCAUUGACCGAUUUAUUGUUAAAAAUUUAGUUUCCAAUUUUUCUUACCAUACAUAGUACUUUUGUUUUUUGCCUGUGAACACUUUUUUCUUUUUUUUUUUGGCCUAACGUUUCUAAAAGUGGGUUUAAAAGGUGGAAGAGUUUGGAAAUUAUUAAAGCUUUGAGAAUUAUUUUGCACAUUGAAAAUCGGUCCACCAGCAGAACGGGAGUGUGAGUGUUUCACAAUGCCCUUGUGAGCAUUCUGUUUUGCUGAACAAGCAGCAAACUAUGAUUUGUAAAUGGUCCUAUUAAGAUUGGUGGAGGCAGGGCACCUGGGUGGCUCAGUCGGUUAAGCGUCCAACUUCCACUGAGGUCAUGAUCUUACAGUUUGUGGGUUCUAGCCCCACAUCGGGCUUUAUGACGACAGCUCAGAGCCUGGAGCCUGCUUCAGAUUCUGUCUCUCUCUCUUUCUGCCCCUCCCCCACUCGUGCUGUCUCUCAAAAAUAAAGUAACAUUAAAAAAAAAUUUUAAGACUGGUGGAGGCAAACAGUCUAUUGGUUCCUCAAAAAGUUAAACAUAGAAUUAAUCAUGUGACCUAUCAGUUCCACUCCUAGGUAUAUACCCAAAAGAACUGAAAGCAGGUAGUCAGACAAAUACUUUGAUGUGGAUGUUCAUAGCAGCAUUAACAAUAGCUAAAAGGUAGAAACAACCCCAAAUGUCCAUCAGUGAAUAAGUUAUGUACAUAUAAUGGAAUAGCAAUUCAGCCAUAAAAAGGAAGUACUGACACAUCCCACGAUGUGGACAAACCUCAAAAACAUGCUAAAUGGAAGACACAAAAGAUCACAUGCUGUAUGAGCCCAUUUAUAUAAAAUACAGAUCAUCAGGAAAUUCAGAGAUACAGAAGGAAGGCCGCUGGCCACCAGGGACUGGGCUGCUGAGGGGACAGGAAGGGCCCGCUUGACCGCACAGGCUAUUAUUUGGGUGAUAAAAAUGUUUUGGAACUAGAUAGAGGAGGUGGCCUCACCACAUUGUGAAAGCACUAAAUGCUAACUGUUCACUGUAAAAUGGUCACUUUUAUGUUCUGUGAAUUUCAUCUCAACUAGGAAAAAAAGAAAAAGAUUGGUGGGGCCCAUAAACCACUCUGUCAUGGUUAGACCUUCGCCAAGUGGCUCAUGAGGCACUAGGAGUCUACACACUGGUGUUCCAGUCCUGGCUCAGACAUAUAUCAGCUGUGUGACCUUCAGCAGGUUAACAAGGUUCUCUGAACCUAUUUCCUCCUCAACGAAACGCAGGAUAAGCGGCAUUCACCCUGCAGUGUGGCUGUGAUCAUCACACAGCAAUGUCUACAAAUAAUCUUGCACAAAAGAGGAGACAGUAUGCCGUGACCUCUACUUCAUUAAGACCGUAAAUUAGCAUUCUGUGAAGCCUCUUCAAAUUACGUGAUAUAUGCAAGUUUGAGCAAAAGAAAGGGUAAAUCUAUGCUCUUAAAAUGGAAUAUAAAUAUGGAAACCCAUCAACUUUUCUCUCUUCUACAGCUGCCCCACUGUGCUGAUCACAGGCCACAUUUCUCUUUCUGCUGACUUCAAUCCUAUUUGUAGAUAAGGAAAAUUGUGCUCCAUGGAGCAGCACACUAACAAACUCUACAGAACUGAAGGAUUCACUUUCUUAGCCUUAGAAUAAAGAGUAGCCACCUAACAUGUGGAAAAAAGCUCUGAAUGAGCUUGAAAAGAAUGAGGGGUAGACAGCAAGUAUCUGCCUUCUCAGUAGUUAGACAAGAAAAAUGACUGUGUACCACAAAGAGGUCACUGAUUCAUAGACAUUCAGCGAUAGUAACUGCUACUUAUUAAAAUGCACACUUAUAAACAACUGGCCACACUGCUACGAUAAUGUUCACGACCAAGUCAUUUUCCCACUAGUGCUUCUUGAGCUUGUGUCUGAAUAACAAUAGCAUUUGAGCUACUCACCCCGUGGGCCUGCCGAUGACCCUGCUUCUCCCCAUGCCUGCCCAGGGCAGCCAGGAUGAUGCCACUGCUGUUCUUGGUGGCAAAUGUUGCCAACAGUUCCGAUUCUGGCAACAAAGACCUGGGUGACAAUUCAACGUAGCCACCUUUCAAGAAGCUAACAGUUCGGAUAGGCUGGUUGAAAAGGAGGCAAAAAGAACACCAUCAGGACUCCUAAGCACUGAAUCGCCCAUGGUGGGGUUUACUGCUGGUCUCCCCAUCAUCUCUUUUCCAUCCAUCUCACUGUGUUAGAUUUUACUACCUUAUUAUGUUGAUAAGUCAGUGGACAUUUGCAAAAACUCAUUCAAAUAUUAAUAAAAGGCUUCCCACCUCCAGUAUACAGCCUUUUCUCACUCCAUAGGAAUUUCUGAGUAAAUCAAAGGUUGAUCUGGAUAUUUCCAGGUUUUUGAUACAGCCCACAUAGCUUUUGCUGGUGACACCUUUCCUGUAGGGAAGGGCACAAGAACAACAAGAUUUGGAUUUUAUAACUCCAUUUUUGAAAGAAGGAAUAAAAAUAGACCUACAGGUAAAGAAGAUCUGCUUCUAUGUGUCAUUCUGCAGAAAUGUCUAAGUCUCCCACUAAGAAGGAUAUUGAUGGUGAAGACUUUAGGUCUAAUGAAGGCUCUCCUUAGGACCAAGGAAAGGGGUUGAAUUUAGAGAGUUUGACUAAAUGGCUACCUAGACAAAAAUGCAUCAUAUUUUAAGGGAAAGUACUGUAGUCACUGCAAUUUAAAUAUACUCAUUAAAACAGGCCAAUUAUAAGAAAGACAGUACACAGUCAUAAGGAAACAAUAGCACAUAGAUUGAAAUCCAAAUCAGUACUAUAUUUUUCUCUUUGUUGUUAUUUAUUUUUAGAGAGUGUGUGUGUGCACAUGCGAGCAGCAGAGAGGGAGCAGGAGAAUCCCAAGUAGGCUCCUCACUGUCAUCAGAGAGCCUGAUGUGAGGCUUGAUUUCACAAACUCUGAGAUCAUGACCUGAGUCAAAAUCAAGAGUUGGGUGCUGAACCAACUGAGCCACCCAGGUGCCCCACUACCAUAUUUUUCUUAAUAGAAGUUGCCACACUGCUGGUUGGGGUGAGGUUGUAAUAUGAUCAGUCUCUCAUUUCCAAAAUAUGGAGAUGACUGAACAUCUCUAAGUUAUAUUCUGAAGCAUCAGCUAGUCACAGGAGAACUCUGAAGUCACAUGGUUUCCAGCUAGAGUCGCAUUUCACUUUCCUUUCCCUCUGUGUUGAGUAGUGAGCUGCAGACCAUUAGGCAACUACAAGAUUUAGGGCAGAUUUUAAUUUUUCUGGAUAUGUUUCUUCCUUUGUAAUUGAAGAGGCUGGUCUUGAUAGAUACCCAGGUCCCUUCUAGCAUAAAACUCUGUUAUUUGGAAUGUCUUCCUGGAAAGGGGGAUCUUUUCUCCAUUGUCUGCACAGUGUCCAUCUCGGUAGAGGACAGAUGAACUGUGGCACAGCUUGUUGCUACAGGAGCACCCACCCUGCUGCCACCAUGUGAGGAAACGAUAUCUGGAAUCGGGAAUUAGGAAACUGGCUUCCAAUCCUGGCUGCAUCCUGGCAGAGGGGUAAGACCUGGGACAAAUGACCAACUCCCCCUGAAGUUUAAGUGUAAUUCAUUUCAAGAUAGGGUGUGGGGGGAGGGUACUGGUGACUGUGGUGGUAAGCUGUGUCCCUUGGAACUUUCAGAAAUUUCUGGCAAAGAAGAGGGGUGAGGAGUGAAUCUGGACUGCUCAGCUUAACAGCAACCAGUGUGGACGCACUUCCGUGCCACUGAUUAGGAGUGCAUAUAAGAACUCAGCUGUAGUUAGUGCGGUAGUAGUAGGGUAGUAGCUGUGCUACUAACUUCUUUGAAGACCACCGGGCUAGGUGAAUCAGUUUGGACAUUUGGUAAUCCCACUCCCCAGAAUCUAUCUUGCCUCGACUGCUGGCCUUUGGUAUAGGAGAUUUUUGUUUUUAAUGGUGUGAAAGAAACUUCGGGCUUCAUUUGUCCAGUCCAAAAUGACACAACUAAGAACAAAGACCCACAGAGAUCUUAUGCAAAUUAUUAAAGUCACAAAGCUAAACAUGAA